AUUUUAGGUGUUGCCUUUGCUGUCCAGUCUGCUCCCAGGAUGCUCCUUGACAGAUAUUAUGUCCUGUGCCACUGCACAGUCAGUCACAACCCAGCUGACGGCAAAGAUUCAGGCUUUCAAACUAGCAGUCUCCAAGUUGUCAAGAAUUGGCAGGAUGGCCCUUGCCAAGGAGGAGAGUCAGUCACAAACAUCCUCACAGAAGUUACAGGCUGAAGAUGGUUCAGAGGAGAUGAUGAAGCCAUGCGUCACUCCAAGAGAGGUGCAAUGCAAGCUAGUCAAGAGAAAACAACAGUUGAAUCAAGCUGUGAAAAGAGCCCUGCAGCAGAGGCAGCCCCUGCACUAUGACGGGCCCCGUCUGGCCCUUCACCACCCCGUACGUGAAGAGCCUAGCACUCGGGAACGGCCGUAUGCGUGGAGGAAAUUUGGGGGCUUUGGGCUCAAUUGUUGAAGGCUCAUUGGUAUGAAUCAGUCUCAGCGAUUCUGGUGACUGUGUAAUCUGUAAUUCCCUUAAUACUUUGGGUUUUAGACUUAAAGGGAUAUUUCAAACAUGAAAAUUUUGUCAUCACUUAGUGACUUUUUUUUCUGAACCUGUAUGGCUUUCUUUCUUCUGAGGAAAAAC
rnacentral:lncRNA from 1 species